rnacentral:rRNA from 1 species
UACGGGGGGGAGCAAGCGUUGUUCGGAUUUACUGGGCGUAAAGGGCGCGUAGGCGGCCACCGCAAGUCGACUGUGAAAUCUCCGGGCUUAACCCGGAACGGUCAGCCGAUACUGCGGGGCUAGAGUGCAGAAGGGGCAACUGGAAUUCUCGGUGUAGCGGUGAAAUGCGUAGAUAUCGAGAGGAACACCUGCGGCGAAGGCGGGUUGCUGGGCUGACACUGACGCUGAUGUGCGAAAGCUAGGGGAGCGAACGGG